rnacentral:rRNA from 1 species
AUCGAUGAAGAACGCAGCGAAAUGCGAUAAGUAAUGUGAAUUGCAGAAUUCAGUGAAUCAUCGAAUCUUUGAACGCAUCUUGCGCUCCUUGGUAUUCCGAGGAGCAUGCCUGUUUGAGUGUCAUUUAACUUCUCAACCACACAUGUUGUUGUGUGGCUUGGAUGUGGGGGAUGUUUUGCAGGCUUUCAUGUGAAUGAAGGUCGGCUCUCCUGAAAUGUAUUAGUAGUGUCUGAGGCUACUACUAUAGGUGUGAUAAUUUAUCUAUGCCUUUGGUGUGCCACAUGAACAGAUUAUGCUGCUUCUAAACAAACAAUAUUGAUAAAUUUGACCUCAAAUCAGGUAGGACUACCCGCUGAACUUAAGCAUAUCAAUAAGCGGAGGAAAAGAAACUAACAAGGAUUCCCCUAGUAACUGCGAGUGAAGCGGGAAAAGCUCAAAUUUAAAAUCUGGCGGUUCUUUGACCCGUCCGAGUUGUAAUCUAGAGAAGUGUUACCUGUGCUGGACCGUGUACAAGUCUCCUGGAAUGGAGCAUCAUAGAGGGUGAGAAUCCCGUCUUUGACAUGGACUGCCUGUACGAUAUGGUGCGCUCUCGAAGAGUCGAGUUGUUUGGGAAUGCAGCUCAAAAUGGGUGGUAAAUGCCAUCUAAAGCUAAAUAUUGGCGAGAGACCGAUAGCGAACAAGUACCGUGAGGGAAAGAUGAAAAGAACUUUGGAAAGAGAGUUAAACAGUACGUGAAAUUGCUGAAAGGGAAACGCUUGAAGUCAGUCACGUCGGCUGGAAAUCAGCCUUGCUUCUGCUUGGUGUACUUUCUGGUUGAUGGGUCAGCAUCAAUUUUGACCAUUGGAUAAAGUCAGUGGGAAUGUGGCAUCUUAGGAUGUGUUAUAGCCCAUUGUCGCAUACAGUGGUUGGGAUUGAGGAACUCAGCACGCCUGCAAAGGCCGGGUCUUUUGACCACGUUCGUGCUUAGGAUGCUGGCAUAAUGGCUUUAAUCGACCCGUCUUGAAACACGG